UUUUAGAGGUUUAAUACGUCGACAGACAAAUGUUAAGGAUCACGAUCCUGAAUUUUGUCAAUUAUCACCAAACUGUCAAAUUGAUCCUCAUUUUGAGUCCGCAGGACCACAGGUCAGCAAAUCUGUUGUUUAAAUCAACAUGGAAACGUAUCAAAUAGAGAUAUUUUCUUAUUUUAGUCGCGGAAGUGGAUAGUAGCUCCGUUGUCAUUAUAUUUCAUUGAAAGAUUUAUUCGUUUUCUUAGAUCUUUACAAACUGUCACUGUAACCAAGAUUGUGAAACAUCCAUCAAAUGUUAUUGAAAUUCAAAUGAAGAAAUCUGGGUUUUCAUAUUUACCUGGUCAGUAUGUGUUUCUUCAAUGUCCAAAAUUUCUCAUUUGGAAUGGCAUCCAUUUACUUUAACCUCCAGCCCAGAGCAAGAGACGUUUAGCGUUCAUAUUCGCACUGCUGGCGACUGGACAAGUUUGUAGUUUGACUCUGA